AUAGAAUUAUUGCUGCGGUUAAAAAGCUCGUAGUUGGAUCUUGGGUCGGGGGGAGCGGUCCGCCCCUCGUGGGUGUGCACUGGUCCACCCGACCUUUCUGCCGGGGACGCGCUCCUGGCCUUCGCUGGUCGGGACGCGGAGUCGGCGAUGUUACUUUGAAAAAAUUAGAGUGCUCAAAGCAAGCCUAUGCUCUGAAUACAUUAGCAUGGAAUAACGUGAUAGGACUCUGGUCCUGUUGUGUUGGUCUUCGGGACCGGAGUAAUGAUUAAUAGGGACAGUUGGGGGCAUUCGUAUUUCAUUGUCAGAGGUGAAAUUCUUGGAUUUAUGAAAGACGAACUUCUG
rnacentral:rRNA from 1 species